GGGGUAUUUUAAAAGCAGUUAUUAAGUUUUUUUCUUUAAAGCUUUUGAACUUAAUAACACUUUAAGUUAACCUUGUAAACAUCAUUAAGUUUACCUUUCAAAGAUCAAAGAACAAUUAUUAAAACCUUUUUGAUCAGAUAACUAAUAAACUAACUAACUAAAUCAUUGAUGCAUAAUUAACUGCAUCAAUGAUUUUUUUUUUAUUAUUUUUACCGCAAAAAAUGCAGAUUUAUCUGUUCAAACCAAUGAUUUAAAAAGGCUUUUUUUAUUACUAAUCAUUGGUUAUUUUUUACUUGUGAUUUUAGCUUUAAUGCUUAUAAAAAAAUCCAAUGAUAAAAGUUUUUUUAGAAAAGUGUUGUGCAAACUGAUUUGUUGUGCUAUAAUCUUUAAGGCUUAUAUAGCUACAUUGUUCUUUGAAAACUGAAUACGACAAAUCUUUCUAGUCCGAAAUUUGAUUAAAGUAUCAAAUCAAAUUUCAUAUAAUAUAGAUUCAAUAAAAAUAGCUAAUGGAUCAAAUACAUAAGUUACUAAGGGCUUAU
rnacentral:misc_RNA from 1 species